rnacentral:rRNA from 1 species
UACAGAGGUCUCAAGCGUUGUUCGGAUUCAUUGGGCGUAAAGGGUGCGUAGGCGGCGCGGUAAGUCGGGUGUGAAAUUUCGAGGCUUAACUUCGAAACUGCAUUCGAUACUGCCGUGCUUGAGGACUGGAGAGGAGACUGGAAUUUACGGUGUAGCGGUGAAAUGCGUAGAUAUCGUAAGGAAGACCAGUGGCGAAGGCAGCGUCCUGGGAAGCAUCUGACGCUCAGGUGCGAAAGCUAGGGGAGCGAACGGG